GUGCUCUUCGGCAGCACAAGUACUAAAAAUUAGGAAAUACAGAGAAGAUGAGCACGGCCCCUGCGCAAGGAGGACACGCAAACUCGUGAAGUGUUGCAGAUUGUU
rnacentral:snRNA from 1 species